AUAUUAUAUUAAUAAAACUUACAGUCUAAUUUCUACAGCAAUAAAACUUACAGCUACAGCCAUCACACCUACAACAAAAAUUCUACAGCAAUUAAUAUACAGUUACAGACGAAACAAUCACCCACUUAGAGUCCUGAAAUCAGACUGUAACAUACUCCAGUUCCAGUUUACCAAAAAAGCUUGUCCUAUUCACCAGACUCCGUUAA
rnacentral:sRNA from 1 species